UAUUAUUUUAUAUGUAAUUAUUAAGACUUGAGUAGUAGUAGUUAAGAACUUCAAACUUAAAGAAUUUGGCGGUAUUUUAGUCCUUUCAGAGGAAUCUGUUCUGUAAUUGAUAGUACACGAUUUUCUUUACUUUCUUUAGUUGUUUGUAUAUCGCCGUCGUAAGAUUAUUUUGUAGAGAAGUGAAAAUUUCUUUAUUUGAGAUUAAAAUGUAAGUCAGGUCAAGGUGCAGCUUAUGGGAAAGUAGAAAUGGAUUACAUUAAUUUUAGUUAGAAAUGGAUUAUGUUAGUGAUUAUUAUAUGAAGGUGGAUUUGAUUGUAAUUUUAUAAAAAUAUUAAUUUGAUUGGGGCUCUAAAAUGUGUACAUAUCGCCCGUCACUCUCGUUUUAAUAUGAG
rnacentral:rRNA from 1 species